rnacentral:rRNA from 1 species
GGUGAACGCUGGCGGUAGGCCUAACACAUGCAAGUCGAACGGCAGCACAGUAAGAGCUUGCUCUUACGGGUGGCGAGUGGCGGACGGGUGAGGAAUACAUCGGAAUCUACUUUUUCGUGGGGGAUAACGUAGGGAAACUUACGCUAAUACCGCAUACGACCUACGGGUGAAAGCAGGGGAUCUUCGGACCUUGCGCGAUUGAAUGAGCCGAUGUCGGAUUAGCUAGUUGGCGGGGUAAAGGCCCACCAAGGCGACGAUCCGUAACUGGUCUGAGAGGAUGAUCAGCCACACUGGAACUGAGACACGGUCCAGACUCCUACGGGAGGCAGCAGUGGGGAAUAUUGGACAAUGGGCGCAAGCCUGAUCCAGCCAUACCGCGUGGGUGAAGAAGGCCUUCGGGUUGUAAAGCCCUUUUGUUGGGAAAGAAAAGCAGCAGGUUAAUACCCCGCUGUUCUGACGGUACCCAAAGAAUAAGCACCGGCUAACUUCGUG